rnacentral:lncRNA from 10 species
UUCAGUAAGAGAAGCUUACUGAAAAUCUUCUGCCUACCAGGCACUGUUGCUGGCACUGAGGAUGUGACAGUGAGCCAAGCUGGUCAAGUCUCCACACUGGCGGAGCUCACAUCCCAGGAGGGAGUCAGAAGAUAAACAAACACAUAAAUAUUUGGUGCUGUGUUAGUGUCCUGGCAGGAAACACAUGGUGCACUCGAGUCGGGUACUGAGGAGAGUUUAAAUAUCAAGUAUUGAUUAAGAUGUGGGCAUGAAUAAGGGAAGUCAACAAGGAGAAGAGAAGCACCCCCGGACGCCAACGCAGUGGGGCAAGGUUUUCCAAGGUAGGACCUGGAAAAAACGCUGUCACUGAGGCUAUCAAUGUAGUAGAGGACAUCUGGCGAGGAGCUUAGCCUUUGGUAGAGGAGCCAGCCUUUGCCAAUUCUCGGUCCAGCAGAAAGGAAGACACCCCACUGUCAUCCUCCUCCUGCCCGUCACACUCCUGACAAUGCUUCCCAUAAGAUGAACCCAGCUGUGAGCCUUGUAUUAAGCCACGUUAGGUGUUAAAGCAUCAAUUCUAGUAACAAAAAACCCAAAUCCCUUGGGGCUUCUCAGUAUCCAAUUGUAUCAUUUUUUAAAAUAGGUAAUUCUAUCUCUUCUUUUCCAAUGUUUAUAUCUAUUAUUUCAUUUUCCUGUUGUAUUAGUUUGCUAGGGUUGCUAUAACAAAAUAUCACAAACCAAGUGGCUUAAACAACAGAAAUUUAUCAUCUUACAUUUCUGGGGCUGGAAGUCCAAGGUCCAGGUAUCAUCAGAGUUGGCUUCUUCUGAGGGCUCUGGGGAAACUUCUGUCCCACGCCUCUCUCCUAGGUUGUGGUGGUUUGCUGGCCAUCCAUCAUCCCGGCAGAGAGCAAGGUGAUACUUGGCUGGUAAAAGCAUCACCCUGCUCUGUCUUCAUGGUGUUCUUCCUGUGUGUGUUUUGUGUCUAUUAGAAGGGGCCAUUUGCAUGUUUUCUUUGGAGAAAUGUC